GCCUUAUGUGUGACAAAGACAUUGAUUUUGUACAUUUUGAUGGACGGAUGCCUUUGUAGGAUGAGAAGAACAAAUAACUUGGUUCAAUACACUCGAGGACUUUGCUUUUUACGAAUUAUGAUGUUCUCUCGUGAUUCCCUUGCGACAGGGAAGAAUCGGGACGUGGGCAGAUGUGCAUUUCAAGUUGCUAAUGAAUAAAGGAAAAGUUAAAAACCAUACUAUAAUAUCAAGAUUCCUGUCCUGUAGCAAUCGAUGAAUAAAUACUGAAAAGUUGAGCAUUUUACUGAAAAGAUAAAGGCAUUUCUUUGAUGGUCACUGUUAUUUCAUUCGCCUUUUUUCUGUGUGGUGUGCAAAUUCUGUAAAUUUUGGCAGUCUAUUGCAACUAUUUGCGUUUGCCUAA